GAUGAACGCUGGCGGUGUGCCUAAUACAUGCGAGUCGAGCGAACAGACGAGGAGCUUGCUCCUCUGACGUUAGCGGCGGACGGGUGAGUAACACGUGGAUAACCUACCUAUAAGACUGGGAUAACUUCGGGAAACCGGUGCUACUACCGGAUAAUAUAUUGAACCGCAUGGUUCAAUAGUGAAAGACGGUUUUGCUGUCACUUAUAGAUGGAUCCGCGCCGCAUUAGCUAGUUGGUAAGGUAACGGCUUACCAAGGCUACGAUGCGUAGCCGACCUGAGAGGGUGAUCGGCCACACUGGAACGGAGACACGGUCCAGACUCCUACGGGAGGCAGCAGUAGGGAAUCUUCCGCAAUGGGCGAAAGCCUGACGGAGCAACACCGCGUGAGUGAUGAAGGUCUUCGGAUCGUAAAACUCUGUUAUUGGGGAAGAACAAAUGUGUAUGUAACUAUGCACGUCUUGACGGUACCUAAUCAGAAAGCCACGGCUAACUACGUG
rnacentral:rRNA from 1 species